CUGUGAGGUAUGCUGGAGGUAUCAGAAGUGCGAAUGCUGACAUAAGUAACGAUAAAGCGGGUGAAAAGCCCGCUCGCCGGAAGACCAAGGGUUCCUGUCCAACGUUAAUCGGGGCAGGGUGAGUCGACCCCUAAGGCGAGGCCGAAAGGCGUAGUCGAUGGGAAACAGGUUAAUAUUCCUGUACUUGGUGUUACUGCGAAGGGGGGACGGAGAAGGCUAUGUUGGCCGGGCGACGGUUGUCCCGGUUUAAGCGUGUAGGCUGGUUUUCCAGGCAAAUCCGGAAAAUCAAGGCUGAGGCGUGAUGACGAGGCACUACGGUGCUG
rnacentral:rRNA from 1 species